UCCGUAGGUGAACCUGCGCAGGGAUCAUUACUGAGUUUACGCUCUAUAACCCUUUGUGAACAUACCUAUAACUGUUGCUUCGGCGGGUAGGGUCUCCGCGACCCUCCCGGCCUCCCGCCUCCGGGCGGGUCGGCGCCCGCCGGAGGAUAACCAAACUCUGAUUUAACGACGUUUCUUCUGAGUGGUACAAGCAAAUAAUCAAAACUUUUAACAACGGAUCUCUUGGUUCUGGCAUCGAUGAAGAACGCAGCGAAAUGCGAUAAGUAAUGUGAAUUGCAGAAUUCAGUGAAUCAUCGAAUCUUUGAACGCACAUUGCGCCCGCCAGCAUUCUGGCGGGCAUGCCUGUUCGAGCGUCAUUUCAACCCUCAAGCUCUGCUUGGUGUUGGGGCCCUACAGCUGAUGUAGGCCCUCAAAGGUAGUGGCGGACCCUCCCGGAGCCUCCUUUGCGUAGUAACUUUACGUCUCGCACUGGGAUCCGGAGGGACUCUUGCCGUAAAACCCCCCAAUUUUCCAAAGGUUGACCUCGGAUCAGGUAGGAAUACCCGCUGAACUUAAGCAUAUCAAUAAGCGGAGGA
rnacentral:rRNA from 1 species